rnacentral:rRNA from 1 species
UACGUAGGAGGCGAGCGUUGUUCGGAUUUACUGGGCGUAAAGGGCGCGUAGGCGGCGUGUUAAGUCACUUGUGGAAUCUCUGAGCUUAACUCAGAACGGUCAAGUGAUACUGAUGUGCUAGAGUGCAGAAGGGGCAACCGGAAUUCUUGGUGUAGCGGUGAAAUGCGUAGGUAUCAAGAGGAACACCUGAGGUGAAGACGGGUUGCUGGGCUGACACUGACGCUGAGGCGCGAAAGCUAGGGUAGCAAACAGG